AAGUCGUAACAAGGUCUCCGUAGGUGAACCUGCGGAGGGAUCAUUACAAGAACGCCCGGGCUUCGGCCUGGUUAUUCAUAACCCUUUGUUGUCCGACUCUGUUGCCUCCGGGGCGACCCUGCCUUCGGGCGGGGGCUCCGGGUGGACACUUCAAACUCUUGCGUAACUUUGCAGUCUGAGUAAACUUAAUUAAUAAAUUAAAACUUUUAACAACGGAUCUCUUGGUUCUGGCAUCGAUGAAGAACGCAGCGAAAUGCGAUAAGUAAUGUGAAUUGCAGAAUUCAGUGAAUCAUCGAAUCUUUGAACGCACAUUGCGCCCCCUGGUAUUCCGGGGGGCAUGCCUGUUCGAGCGUCAUUUCACCACUCAAGCCUCGCUUGGUAUUGGGCAGCGCGGUCCGCCGCGUGCCUCAAAUCGUCCGGCUGGGUCUUCUGUCCCCUAAGCGUUGUGGAAACUAUUCGCUAAAGGGUGUUCGGGAGGCUACGCCGUAAAACAACCCCAUUUCUAAGGUUGACCUCGGAUCAGGUAGGGAUACCCGCUGAACUUAA
rnacentral:rRNA from 1 species